UUCUGGAGGAAGACUUUGGUAUCAGGCUUUCCACCAACAGUUAGGCCUGGAAGUUUCUCUAAUAUUCCAGCUACACAGCUUCGGGAAGAGAUAGCUAGACGUGAGCCAAAGAACAAGGGUGACCUUCAGAAGCUGAUGACAACUGUUUUGUGCCUGAGGGGAAGGGAGAAGAGGGACAUCAGUACCACUCAUGACAGUCAAGCCCUCAUGGCCUAAUCACCUCCCAAGGACCGCACCAAGCAACAGGAGCCAGCAUGACAAGUACAGAAAGCAGCAGACGUCUACCCAAAUCCAACAUGAAUUUUGCUUUGCACUUUAUCCCGAUUAG